ensembl:lncRNA
GCAAAAGCAGAUUCUUUUCAUGAUAUUUGUAGAAUAGACAUGUAUACUUAAAUAUUCCAAGCUUCCAUUGCCAGAAACCUGCGAUAACCUCACCCACCAUGUCAUUGCUACUAGAACUUCUUAGACAAGAAACAUGGUAUGUAGCUGUCCAAAAGGGCAAAGCUGACAGGAGACAGGACGCAAGAGAGGCAGGAGUGAAACGGGAAGUGAUUCUCCCCCUCUGCUCUGCGCUGUGAGGCCUCACCUGGAGCACUGUAUCUAGCUGGGGAGUCCUCGGUAUGGAAGAGAUGUGAACCUAUUGGAGAGCAUCUGAAGGAGGACCACAAAAAUGACCCAAGGAAUGGAAUGCCUCCCCUACAAGGACAGGCUGAGAGAGCUGAGGCUGUGCAGCCUUGGGAAGAGAAGGCUUCGGGAGAUAUCAGUAUCUGGAGGGAGGCUGUAAGAAGGAAGGAGACUAUUUAGCAGGGUCUGUUGUGAGAGGACAAGGGGAAAUUGUUUCAAACUAAAGGAGAGGAUAUUUAAAUAGUGUGUAAGAGAAGUUUUUCAUUAUAAGGAUGGUGAGGCACUAGCACAGGUUGCCCAGAGAGAUGGUGGAUGACCCAUACCAUCAAGGUCAGGCUGGAGGGACUCUGAGCACCUGAUUGAGCUGUUCAUUGUAGGCAGGUUGGACCAGAUGGCCUUUAGAGAUCCCUUUCAACUCAAGAGAUUCUAUGAUUCUAAGAAGGGGGGAAUGAGGGA